rnacentral:rRNA from 1 species
GAUGAACGCUGGCGGCGUGCUUAACACAUGCAAGUCGAACGAUGAAGCCCAGCUUGCUGGGUGGAUUAGUGGCGAACGGGUGAGUAACACGUGAGUAACCUGCCCUUAACUCUGGGAUAAGCCUGGGAAACUGGGUCUAAUACCGGAUAGGAGCGUCCACCGCAUGGUGGGUGUUGGAAAGAUUUAUCGGUUUUGGAUGGACUCGCGGCCUAUCAGCUUGUUGGUGAGGUAAUGGCUCACCAAGGCGACGACGGGUAGCCGGCCUGAGAGGGUGACCGGCCACACUGGGACUGAGACACGGCCCAGACUCCUACGGGAGGCAGCAGUGGGGAAUAUUGCACAAUGGGCGCGAGCCUGAUGCAGCGACGCCGCGUGAGGGAUGACGGCCUUCGGGUUGUAAACCUCUUUCAGUAGGGAAGAAGCGAAAGUGACGGUACCUGCAGAAGAAGCACCGGCUAACUACGUG